GCUAACUUUAGCUCACCGCACAGAUAGACUACUACUAUAUUUUUAGCUUUAUCUUUCACCUCAUAUUUGGUCUCAAAUGCUGAUACUAUGUGGGAAUGCAUAAAGGCUUGAAGACAUGAGAGCGACCCGCUGUGUUCACACUGAAGCCUCUGAAGGUGAAAAAGAAGAAAAUGAGGAGGACAAGAAGGAGCCAAGGAAUCAAGAGACUCACUUUCACCUUGAACCUUAUGCAAAUCAGCAAAAAAGGGGAUAAAGAACCUGUCUUUGUCAGUGAAGUCCAUUCCCAGGACGAUGUUCUCCUCCGUAUCCUGAUGGCCGUUUGUGUAGAUGACCACCAUGUAUCGAACCCGCUCCGACCAGCCGCUCUCCAGCCGCACAGCCUGGAAACAAGUUGAUUGGACACCGAUGGAAACAUACAGACUGCAUCAUGGAUGCUUGCCGAAGACUUGAAUUUCACUGCCUCACGGGUACUCGAUGAAAGCUCGAGUUUCAGUGACUCACGGGUGCUCUACGAAGACUCGACUCUCACUGACUCACAGGUGCUCGCUGAGCAUCGGCAGCUCGGCUGCCAAACCUGCGAGUUUUGGCACAUCGAGUUUCAGUGACUCACGGGUGCUCUACGAAGACUCGACUCUCACUGACUCACAGGUGCUCGCUGAGCAUCGGCAGCUCGGCUGCCAAACCUGCGAGUUUCGGCACAUGUAUACCCGAUUCACUGGGGGAAGACGUGGUGCAUAAUACUACAAAGAGUGCUCAGUAUGACAGUGUACUUCUUCACCACUCCCAUCUGGAAGAUGGACGAUGGGAGUCAAUCAAAUCAGUAUUAUCUGUGCAAAUGCAGGUGUACCUAAUAAAGUGAGGGAUGCACUGCAGUAAGAAAAUGCACACUUUGUUGUGAACGAUAUAAUCCACCCCACCCCCUUUACAAAGACACAGCAUAACAAGUCCAUGAUACAGAUAG